UUCCUUCUUUUGAAAACUAUACAACAUAUUAGUAGUUUCUUACUCAAUAUUUAUUUUCCAGCUUUCUUCUAUGCUAAGAGGAUCCUGAUUUUGUUCAAGUUUCUGCCUACAAUAUGGCCAGAGAUGGUGAGACCCUUUUGAAGACAUUCAAUGAGGAAAAUGUUAUUUUGUUUCAAGUACUGACACAGAAUUUGUUUGAAAAGCAGAAAGGAAAACAAAAAAGCUAAAAGCGACAAACCUAUUAACUGUCUGGUGUGAAAGAAACUCAUCCAUUCAUCCAUCCACUCACACAAAAAAUACUACUAUAUGGGAAAUAUUGUACUAUACAUUGAAUACCAAUGGGGCCAAGGCUGACUUGGUGGAAGCUGUCUGAUACUGUGGGUCAUCCUGACCUUGAGGCUGUGCAACGUGCCCUGGCAGAUUCAGAGUGUGUCCUGCUAGAACCCAUGUGCUGGACUCACAUUUUCAUCCUCAAGAUCACUGCUCAGCCUGCCCAGGUUCAAAACUCUUGUUUGUGAGCUGAGAGGAAAAAGAGAAAAAAGAUGAAAUAAAUGUGAAUAAAACAGAAAUAAGCAAAUGUCAUUGAUUACAUUUCAUUUGUUACUUUCAUUGUGGAACCCAUUGCAACCCACCUAUCAUGUCUUUUGUUUCUCAUCUAUAAAAAAGAUACAAUGAUAAU
rnacentral:lncRNA from 1 species